rnacentral:rRNA from 1 species
AUAGGGGAGCCGGAGGGAAACCGAGUCUUAAUUGGGCGUUAAGUUGCAGGGUAUAGACCCGAAACCCGGUGAUCUAGCCAUGGGCAGGUUGAAGGUUGGGUAACACUAACUGGAGGACCGAACCGACUAAUGUUGAAAAAUUAGCGGAUGACCUGUGGCUGGGGGUGAAAGGCCAAUCAAACCGGGAGAUAGCUGGUUCUCCCCGAAAGCUAUUUAGGUAGCGCCUCGUGAAUUCAUCUCCGGGGGUAGAGCACUGUUUCGGCUAGGGGGCCAUCCCGGCUUACCAACCCGAUGCAAACUGCGAAUACCGGAGAAUGUUAUCACGGGAGACACACGGCGGGUGCUAACGUCCGUCGUGAAGAGGGAAACAACCCAGACCGCCAGCUAAGGUCCCAAAGUCAUGGUUAAGUGGGAAACGAUGUGGGAAGGCCCAGACAGCCAGGAUGUUGGCUUAGAAGCAGCCAUCAUUUAAAGAAAGCGUAAUAGCUCACUGGUCGAGUCGGCCUGCGCGGAAGAUGUAACGGGGCUAAACCAUGCACCGAAGCUGCGGCAGCGAACGUAUCACUUAAAGCGAUUCAGCGGGUUACGAUUGACGGAGCGAAGCGACGUCAAAGCGUAUACAAAGUCGAGUCGGUUUAAGGAUACGUU